UCAGGAUGGCAAAUAAAUAUGGAGCAAUCAGAAAAGGCUGAUCCGUUUCUCUUGGGGAUGGGAUUCACUCAUUCAACAAUUUACUGAGUCCCUUGCCAUGGGGCCAGGCGCCAUGCCGGGUUCUGGAGAUACAGAAGCAGUCCCUCCAUCACUGUCUCACAUUCAUCUGGGGACAUUGACACAAGGCGAUUCUUAACAUGAAUUAAAAUUGUGAUCUCUGGAGGAGAGACAGAGCAUGCUUCGAGAACAUUUAAACUGGGGCAUUUGACGUGAGCAGAAUGUGAAGGAAGUCCUCCCCAGGAAAAUGAUGUUACAGGUGCUUUACAUUUCAUUAUCUCAAGCGCCCUGCCUGGCUUUGCUGUCUCAGAAGCUGUGCCAAGCCUUUCACCUUCUGAAUUCCCCUUACACCCAGACUUUGGAUGCAGAGGGAGCUUUUGCAUGCUUAAUGCAGACAUGACUGCCUCCUGGAGUCAGUCUCAUUUAUUUAUUGACUAGGGUGACAGCCGCGAUGAAAGACCAGAUUCUCUUGAUGAAACUAUUUGAGAAGGAUUUCGAUCAGGCUCCCUGAGCAUGCAGCUUGAGACAUAACCACCGUUCUUCUGUGCCUGGCAAACCACUGUUCCCUGUGUUCAUGCAUGUCUGCAUUUCUCAACGACAAAUACAGUCCAACUCACAGGAGCUUACCUUCAGGAAACAUUAAAGAGCUAAUCACAUAACCCCCUGCAAACAGUGUCACUUCACUGCUUUGCAAAACAUUAUCCUUAAGGGAAUCACAACACAGGGCAGAAUUCAGAAUUCAGUAUUUAUUUAUUGAAAAUAUCUCUAGGUGUCUGCAAAUAUUCGUUUAUAAACUCCAGGAAUAAUUUAUAAACAAUUAUUUAUACUUGUUUAUAAACUGAAUAUUUUCACGUAUUUAUUUUUUUUAACUUGUCAUUAAAGUAUAACAUGUGAAUGUGAUUCUUCACAAAUCUUCACUGUGGUUAUGUUUGGGUAACCACCACCCAGAUCAAGAUUUAGAGCAUUUGUAGCACCCCAAGGCACCCCUUCCCAUUCCAUUACACCCACCCAGGUAACUACUGUUCUAAUCUCUUUUUUUCCUGCUACACAACCUAUAAUACUGCUGCAGCGUUGCAUUGUUUUAUGACUAUAACACACACGACAGUAUGGAUUAAUCCCAGUGAUGAUGCAGAGCAAUAAAAUCUGAUCACAAAACAUGACACACAGUGUGAGUCCAUCUAUAUGUUCAAGAACAUGCAAAACCAAUCUGAACCAUAGUGCACAGGAAAUGAGAAAGUAGGGAAAGUUAAGUGCAGGCACUUUAUCUGAGACUUCUUCAUCUUUUAUGUCACAACCACUUACACCCUUAUGCCAAGUUUGCCUUCACUAAGUUCCUCUGGCUGCAAAACUAGAGUCUCGAAUGGCAGUAGUAUCAACAUCCCUAUGGUCAGGUAUUUAAUCUAUAAUUUCAUUUGUGUUUGACUCAUAGUCUACUUCCAGCAUCCUCACUUUUUCUUCUCUGCCUCACUUUCAUCUUUGUUGACCAAUUCCCUCUUUUGAUUAUCUAUUUAUAAAAUGUCACAUGAGUUUAUCAUUGGGAGACAACGAGGCAGCACAACUAUAUGUUUUACUAUCUGUGUGUGAACCAAUAAUGAGUGCAUAGUGAGCAAUCACUGAGACACUUGGAAAGGAUUGAGUCAUUGCUCACUGAUUAUGAUGCACAUCUGUCGUUUAUAUAGUGAUUUGUGAACUGAGACACCUGCUUUGAAGUUUGUACUUUAUGCAACUACUUAGAGUUGAUGUACAUUUUUUUUUU